rnacentral:rRNA from 1 species
UACGGGGGGGGCAAGCGUUGUUCGGAAUUACUGGGCGUAAAGGGCUCGUAGGCGGCCAACUAAGUCAGACGUGAAAUCCCUCGGCUUAACCGGGGAACUGCGUCUGAUACUGGAUGGCUUGAGGUUGGGAGAGGGAUGCGGAAUUCCAGGUGUAGCGGUGAAAUGCGUAGAUAUCUGGAGGAACACCGGUGGCGAAGGCGGCAUCCUGAACCAAUUCUGACGCUGAGUGAGCGAAAGCCAGGGGAGCAAACGGG